UGGGGAAUAUUGCACAAUGGGCGCAAGCCUGAUGCAGCCAUGCCGCGUGUAUGAAGAAGGCCUUCGGGUUGUAAAGUACUUUCAGCGGGGAGGAAGGGAGUAAAGUUAAUACCUUUGCUCAUUGACGUUACCCGCAGAAGAAGCACCGGCUAACUCCGUGCCAGCAGCCGCGGUAAUACGGAGGGUGCAAGCGUUAAUCGGAAUUACUGGGCGUAAAGCGCACGCAGGCGGUUUGUUAAGUCAGAUGUGAAAUCCCCGGGCUCAACCUGGGAACUGCAUCUGAUACUGGCAAGCUUGAGUAUCGUAGAGGGGGGUAGAAGUCCAGGUGUAGCGGUGAAAUGCGUAGAGAUCUGGAGGAAUACCGGUGGCGAAGGCGGCCCCCUGGACGAAGACUGACGCUCAGGUGCGAAAGCGUGGGGAGCAAACAGG
rnacentral:rRNA from 1 species